rnacentral:rRNA from 1 species
CCUACGGGAGGCAGCAGUGGGGAAUAUUGGACAAUGGGGGCAACCCUGAUCCAGCCAUGCCGCGUGUGUGAAGAAGGCCUUCGGGUUGUAAAGCACUUUCAGAUGUGAGGAAAGGAUAGUAGCUAAUAACUGCUAUCUGUGACGUUAACAUCAGAAGAAGGACCGGCUAACUCCGUGCCAGCAGCCGCGGUAAUACGGAGGGUCCGAGCGUUAAUCGGAAUUACUGGGCGUAAAGCGCGCGUAGGCGGCUAAGUCAGUCAGAUGUGAAAGCCCCGGGCUCAACCUGGGAAUUGCACCUGAUACUGCUUGGCUAGAGUACAGAAGAGGGUGGUGGAAUUUCCUGUGUAGCGGUGAAAUGCGUAGAUAUAGGAAGGAACAUCAGUGGCGAAGGCGGCCACCUGGACUGAUACUGACGCUGAGGUGCGAAAGCGUGGGGAGCA